UACGGGGGGGGCAAGCGUUGUUCGGAUUCAUUGGGCGUAAAGGGUGCGUAGGUGGCGCCGUAAGUCGGGUGUGAAAUUUCGGAGCUUAACUCCGAAACUGCAUUCGAUACUGCGGUGCUUGAGGACUGGAGAGGAGACUGGAAUUCACGGUGUAGCAGUGAAAUGCGUAGAUAUCGUGAGGAACACCAGAGGCGAAGGCGGUUUCCUGGACAGUUACUGACGCUCAGGCACGAAAGCAUGGGGAGCAAAAGGG
rnacentral:rRNA from 1 species